rnacentral:rRNA from 1 species
UACGUAGGGUGCGAGCGUUAAUCGGAAUUACUGGGCGUAAAGCGUGCGCAGGCGGUUUUUUAAGCCAGGUGUGAAAGCCCCGGGCUCAACCUGGGAAUGGCAUUUGGGACUGCAAGGCUGGAGUUUGGCAGAGGAGACUGGAAUUCCCGGUGUAGCAGUGAAAUGCGCAGAUAUCAGGAGGAACACCAAUGGCGAAGGCAGCUCGCUGGGACGGUACUGACGCUGAGGCGCGAAAGCGUGGGGAGCAAACAGG